GGAUUAGAUACCCUGGUAGUCCACGCCGUAAACGAUGUCUACUAGUCGUCGGGGAUCUUGCAUUUCUGGUGACGCAGCUAACGCGAUAAGUAGACCGCCUGAGUAGUAUGCUCGCAAGAGUUAAACUCAAAGGAAUUGACGGGGACCCGCACAAGCGGUGGAGCAUGUGGUUUAAUUCGAAGCAACGCGAAGAACCUUACCAGGGCUUGACAUACAGUGCAAAACUAUAGAGAUAUAGCAGAGGUUAACAUUGAUACAGGUGGUGCAUGGUUGUCGUCAGCUCGUGCCG
rnacentral:rRNA from 1 species